AAAAAAAGAAUGAGAAGAAAAUAUGAGAUAAACAAAAAACAAAACACUUAAGAUGAACAAAAAGAAAAAUACAUAGUUGCCGGCCAGUAAAUAAAAGCAAGGAGUAAAACUUUAUUAGAAAAUGUAUAAAAAGAACCGCAAGUGAGAGAUAUUUACAAAAAAAGGAGAGAAGAAAUCAUAAACAUCAACAUUAUACUCUUGCAGGCACAGGACUCCAGAUGCUGAUGAUCCACUGUGCUCCCUCUACAAGGUGGAAGAUACAAGGAGGUGAAAGGUCAAGCAUGACACCAGGAACAGGGGUGAGGUUUCUGUUUCUGUCUUCUAAACAGACUCCUUCAAAGACAUUGUUUCUCUUUGGAAGCUGGAGUAGCAGUAUGCCACAGAGAGAUAGAGUGAUCUCCACAAACGCGCAGGAAUUCAUUACCUGAGUGUCUUGAUCCUUAAGACCACACAUGGAACAAAACAAUGACCAUCACUGGCUAAUGUAUUGCACAGCACAGUGGGACAGGACUGGGUUGUCUGGGAGAUCCACCAGCUGCUUUAUUCUAGACAUCGGAGUCACAAUUGCUGGACAAGAACAGAAAGCAUAGCUUCCUCCUUAAUGUAUUUCUUGGGGAAACAGCACCUAAAACUUGAUGAAUUUGGUAUUUCCUAUUUUGUCCUUCUUUGUUUCUUGAAGCUUUUUGAAAGCAACUCAGAAUUUGGGAAACCCCCUGAGAUUCCCAAAAGAUUCUGUUAUCAGAAGUCCCAUGCAAUUACAGCUGAAAAGUAAAUGGUGUAUGUGGACAAGAGAAAGAACAGCAGUUAGAAUACCCCAAAUACUAUGAAUGUAUUGCACACUCUCUAUUUAAACCAAUGCUGUCUUCUAGUUCAAUUACUGCCAGUGUGUGGCUUUGGGCAAAGCAAUUUUCUGCUCCACUUUUUCCAUCUGUGAUCUGAAAAGAAAGAGUGAAAACGAGGGGAAAUAGGUUUAAAACCACUGGGUUUUCCCCCUUUCACUAAAAGUAAAACAUUAUCUCUGAUCCUCUUUUUCCAUUAGAAGGCAGUACGCUUUUACCUCUCUUCACCUUUGUUGGAGCUACAGGAAGUUGCCUUUCACUACCUCCUACUUCGGCCUCUGCCUCACAAAUGUGACUUAAGCUAAUGCUCACAGAGCACUUUGAGUACCUCAAUGCACAGUGUGUUAUCAGUACAAAUAACACCUCAUAGUAUUUCUAAAAUAGGAGUGAUCCAGACAGCACGGGAGAGCAAAUAAAUGGCAUUCCUGUCUUACUGUUCUAGUUCAUAUGUACCUCAUGACUCUGAAUUUAACAUUGCUUUCCAUUCACCUUAAUUAUAUUUACUGGUGUAAGUGCCAUAAUAGAUGCCCUAUUGCAGCAGUAUGUGUUAAAAAUGUGCAAGAAAGGAGCUUAAUGCUAUUUAGAUGUGUUCCAUUAGAAAAGAGACUGGCAAUGAAAGUUUUGGAUUAACGUUGAGUGUAAAAGGUUUUUGGGAGGCCUUAGUAUUUUGGCUGGCAAUCCAUCUCUAGAUCUAACUUACUUAUUUCCCCCUUCCGUUUUGGUAGCUGUAUCUAACAUUAUCUAGGCCUGCAUAAUACUUUUAUUUGCAUUUUAGGAUUUAAAAUAACAGUAGAACUGUGUAAUUGCUUGGCAGGAAUUCAGGCCUUGCAUUUUGUGAUAGCACAAAAAGGAAUCGUGUUGGUAAUAAAAAGAAGCCUAGCAGUAUUGUAGCAUACAAAUAUACAUUAUUUUUGAUAUUCAAUGUGUAAAAAAAGCAAUAUUGGUACCUAAAGCAUUGCAAAAGCUAGGACAGGCCAAAAUGUAUUGGGUUCUACAUGCCUCCAGAAAGUAAAACUAAAUGGUUACUCUAAUAAUUAAUAUAAAGAUAUCCCUUCUUAAUUAUUUUAAAAUAUAAUGGAAUUUGGUUUUGUUUGCUAUGUAAUUAUUUGGUGAUGUAACAUUUGAUUCAAAUCAGGCCCCUAGUCCUGAUUCUUACUUAUGCGUGGACAGUCCCACUGAAUUCAAAGGCAUACAUUCUUUUUUCUGCCUCUAGAGUCACUGAGGAUUAUAAAGCUGAAAGAAUGAAAAUAUUUAGCUCAGAGGCAUAUGUGACUGUAUAGAUAUUCUACUAUGUCUGGAAUUUGUAUGGCAGAACUGACUCAUGCUCUAAAUCAGUCAACCCACUUUACCAAAAUAGACUAAUGAGAAGACUGAUCAGUAGCUUUGAGCAUUUCAAUUAUUUGCCAUUGCUUAUUUUCUUAAGUAACUUGUUAUUGGAGCACAGUCAGGACUAAUGGGGAAAGGGAAAAUUGAAUUAAUACUUGGUGAACACAUCUAAUUGCCCUAUUUUUUCUGGUUUAGAACAAAUUACAAUAAAUUUGCACAACAUUUUUUUUUAAAUUUCAGAUUGCAAAUGGGGAAAAAAUAGCAUGCAUAACUGCUAAUGUAGAUGCUAAUUUGAAUCAGUGCAUGGCUAACAGACUGUUGACCAGUUUAGGGAAAAAUAAUAGUAAAAAUUAAGGUUAGCUAUAAAUCCAAUGAAGACAGACUCUUACCCUUAUGUAAUCAGUGCUGGCACAAAGGAACCCUAAAGCUGAUGUACCCAGAGAAGGAAGGAGCAUCCUGCAUCAAUAUGCCUUGUUAUUCCAAUUGAUUCAUAUCUGUUUAGCAUUAACAAAGCAUUACUUAGAUUGGAUAUCAUGUGUCCUGGGGGGCGGGGCAAGAUAAUCCUGGGAAAAACUGAGCAAGUCUUUACUUCUUAAUGAAUGAUGUUUUGUCUUGCCCUGUGUUCAUGUAACACUCAGCAUUAUGAGAAUUGAGCUGGUCUCUGCCUGCUACCAUAACAGAGUGAAUAAUAGGUAUAAUAAUGAUAAUAACAGCAAUAAUCUUCCAAAAUUAUUCUAGAUUUGGGGUUGUUUAUUUGUUCCUAAAUUAAACUGUAUUAGUAA